CACCCCGUAUAACCACGAUACAGAUAAAUCCGGACGUUGACGCGUUCGAAGCGAUAAUCAGGACAACAAUUGAUGACAACAACUUUGAAUGACUCUCUAGAACUUAUUUGAGGUUAUAUCUAUAUGUCAAUGUACAUGUUUGUUUAUUUAUUCAAUUAUAUGAUGGCUAAUAAACAACUAUCCACCAAAGUUUAAAUGAAGUGGUUGAGAGCAAUUAGUCCAAAGUACGGCAUUCAACAAGGACAGUUUUGCUAAUUGCUGUAAGCUUUACGGUGACCUAACGUUGUUAAUUUAUGUGUCAUUUGGUCUUUUGUGGAGAUUUUUUUCAUUAGUAAUCAUACCUUUUUUUUUCUUUUUUUUCUUUUUUUAUUUAUACCAUAUAUUCGGCUAUAAAAGCAAUCAUACCACAUCUUCUCUUUUACCUAUACUGUAUAGUCGGCUAUACAAGGCCCCAAUAUUAAAACAAAUGUGAAAAUUUAAAACUAGAAAACUAAUAGCCUAAUGAAUAAUGUGAUCAUUUUCAUAAAUUUCCUGAUACAAAACUUUGAAUUUUUCGAAAAACUAAGGAUUUUCUUGUCCCUGGAAUAGAUUACCUUAGCCGUAUUUAGCACAACUUUUUGGAAUUUUGGAUCCUCUAUGCUCUUCAACUUUGUAUUGUUUGGCUUUAUAACUAUUUUGAUAUGAGCGUCACUGAUGAGUCUUAUGUAGACGAAAUGCGCGUCUGGGGUACUAAAUUAUAAUCCUGGUACUUUUGAUAACUAUUUACACCCCUGGGUCGAUGCCACUGCUGGUGGACGUUUCGUCCCCGAGGGUAUCACCAGCCCAGUAGUCAGCACUUCGGUGUUGACAUGAAUAUCAAUAAUGUGAUCAUUUUCAUAAAUUUCCUGAUACAAAACUUUGAAUUUUUCGAAAAACUAAGGAUUUUCUUGUCCCUGGAAUAGAU
rnacentral:lncRNA from 1 species